rnacentral:lncRNA from 1 species
UUUAGGUCUUAUGUUUAAGUCUUUAAUCCAUCUUGAGUUAAUUUUUGUGUAAGUUGUAAGGAAGGGGUCCAGUUUCAGUUUUCUGCAUAUGGCUAGCCAGUUUUCCCAACACCAUUUAUUAAAUAGGGAAUCCUUUCACCGUUGCUUGUUUUUCUCAGGUUUGUUAAAGAGAAAAGGAAAAACCAGCACAGAAAGGCUGAAAAUUCCAAAAACCAUAAUGCCUUUUCUCCUGCAAAGGAUCACAACUCCUUGCCAGCAAGGGAACAAAACUGGAUGGAGAAUGAGUUCGAUGAAUUGACAGAAGUAGGCUUCAGAAGCCCAUUGGUCAUAGAAAAGGAUUAUCUGGGACUGUUUGGUGAACUCAGAGAAUUCAAGAGAAGAUUAGGAAGGUUAUUUUUCUCCAAGUACAUUAAUAAUAAAAUAACAAUGACUAACGGCUUAGUUAUGAUUAUCUGUGCUUUCAGUCUCAUUCCUUUUUUGGAUGAAUGUGAAGCAAAGUUAAAGUAGAAAGCCAAGAAAAGAGUCAUUUAUUUGCUGCAGUUAGGUGAAUUAUAUACUGUGCUACAGACCUUAUACUCUGACUUCUAGGCUUGAUUCUGUGGGCCUGGAAGGCUGAUUGAUAGAGAUUAGUAAGUUUGGCAUUUUUGGGGACAAAUGAUACAGUGAUUCAAAAUGCACAUCCUAAAUAUUGUCUUGGUCAGGUCACUUCACCUCCUUUAGUCUCAGUUUUCUCAUUAGUAAAAUAGGAAAAUAAUACUCCCGUGUAGGGGGUGCUUAGCAUAAAGAUUAAAGUUAAUGUAUAUGAAAUGCAUGACACUUGGCAAUGUCAAUGUUUAAAAAAUGUUCAUUGUAAUAAUUCAUAUUAAGUAAGAGUAAGCUAUAAGUUUAGCCUGUAUUAUUUGUAGAUGUUAGCUGUAAUAAUGAUCAUUGUUCAAAUCAAAGCCAAUUCCUAGUUCUUAGCCUUAUGGUAGGACAUUUUUCUCUGCUACUGUAACAGUGUUGGAACCAUAAACCUUCCUUUUAAUUAUAUAUUAUGCAAGUGGAACAAUUAGUAAUGGCUUUAUAAAGAUUACAAAUCUACUUAUAAAAUAAAUCAACCACAUAGGAAUACCUUCAUUAUCCAUUCUCUUACACUGAGACCUAAUUAUUUUUAAGGCUCCUAAUAUAAUUUCAGUUCUAUGAAAAACAACUAACAACUUCUGAUAAUGCAUUUGAUUCACAGUUGUUCAUUUGCAUUACCAUGGAUAGUUAAUAAAUAGAACAGAAAGCUUUCUCUUCCUAGGACUUAUUAGUCUUCUUGAUUCAUA